GCACGUGGCGGCACUAGAUCACCGGACUUCUAAUCCGAUGGCCGCAGGUUCGAAUCCUGCCGGGUGCG
rfam:Nocardiopsis sp. CNR-923 NODE_112_length_4100_cov_123.76_ID_229, whole genome shotgun sequence.